UCCAAAUUGGAUGUGAGCAGAGGCAGGAGAGGCCCCUCUGGAGCAGAUUCUAGACGUUCCAGAUGUUCUUGAUAUUGCUGAUGCUGCAGAGUAGUGUAGCUCAGUUCUUUCGUUGUGUAUAACUUAGUUUUCUUUAUUUUUUUCCCCUUUUGAAAGACUCUAUGCUGAUAUGUAGAGCUUAUAUCAUAUUUUGGAUGACUGUAUUAUAUACACUUCAUCUGCUACU
rnacentral:lncRNA from 1 species